rnacentral:tRNA from 1 species
AAGAGAAUAGCUUAAUUUGAUAAAGCUUUAGUUUUCAAAACUAAUGUUAAAGGUUCAAUUCCUUUUUCUCUUG